rnacentral:lncRNA from 1 species
CUUGGAUUUGAUAAAAUAUGUCCUCAGUGAUUAUUCCAUUUAAGAUCAUGGAAAGUGCAGUUCAGAUGGUAAAUGUCACACUGCAAAGAGUAACUAACUUUUUUUUCAAUUAUUUUAUUGAGGUCAUAAUGGUGUGUAACAUUGUGUAAUUUCAGGUGUACAUUAUCAGUUUCUGUAUAGACUGCAAGAGUAAUUUAUAUUUUGAUGGAGGUAGAAAAAUCUGCCAGCUCAUUCUAUAAGGGCAGGAAGCUAGAAAUGGUGGUAAAGACUGCUGGAGGAGUCCUCAUCCUAUUUUCAUAGGAUACGAUGCCCUGGGCCACAUGGUGACACACCAGGAGGCCUCUGGUGUACCGGUGUGGGUGAUGAGAACAGAUGCGAAGUUGGGCUUCCCCACUCCUCCUGCCCUAAGGCACAGCCCUCAGAGAAGGCAGGCACAGGUUUCAUCACCCAGCUGCCCAGGAGGCUGCCCACCACUGCCAGUGAUAUGGGGAGGAAAGAGUCAUCCCAGCCAACACUACCAUCCCCUCGACAACCGCUGAGUCAGUGCUGGGAGCAGAAAUGGGAUCCCAGGGUGAUGAAGGGGUGCUUGGAGCUUGUGACCUAGAACCCUAAACCUGCCAAAUUCAAUAAUUUCCUGACAAUGCAUGAAAGCUGGUGGCAGCCUAUUUCCUCUAUUUGCUUGUCUCCAGAAUUAGAGCUCAGUCAUCUGGAAUUGCAGUUUCUCUAAAUGAAUAUGUUUCCUGGAUUCCUUAGUCAUAUAUACUUAGCAAGACAUGGACAAGGGCGAAUGAAACACAAGUGUGUUGUGAGGUGUGAUGUGGUGAGGACACCAGGAACAAAUCAAAGGACACACAAGAGGAAAAGGGGAAGCCUGCCUGUCUUCAUCUCUCGCCCUUGGCCACCCUGUGGAGACCCUGGUGCUUCCACUUCUUUCUAGAAGUCUCAAGGCAGGUUGAGUAGCUCUCUCUCCUGAGUGGCUGGAGUGUGCUGCCAGAGAAGGAAAAGGGAAGAGCAAGGCUCUGCCACUGACAAUUACUUUCUCAGGUCACUGGAGCCCCAACAAACUUUCAGGGGAAAUUACGACCCAGUUGAAGACUUCUCUUUUCCUGCUCCCUAGUCAAGGCAAAGGCCUUUGUGUCCCAGAAGUUUCCCUGCACACAGAAGAGGACUAGUGACUUGAUUCUGUUGAGAGCUGCCCGACCCUGGCUGGAAAGCAUCUGAGAUCCUCUUCAUCCAUUUUGUGAGAGACCAAUCAACCUAAUCAGCA